GAUGAAGAACGCAGCGAAAUGCGAUACUUGGUGUGAAUUGCAGAAUCCCGUGAACCAUCGAGUCUUUGAACGCAAGUUGCGCCUCAAGCCAUUAGGUUGAGGGCACGUCUGCCUGGGCGUCACAUAUCGUUGCCUGAUGCCAGUUUCCUCGUGAUGGGUGACUGUGCAGGGCGAAUGAUGGCUUCCCGUGAGCAUUGUUGCCUCAUGGUUGGUUGAAAAUUGAGUCCUAGGUAGGGAGCGCCGUGAUAGAUGGUGGUUGAGUGACGAACGAGACCCAAUCAUGUGAGACCCCUACCGAAUUUGGCCUUCAUGACCCACAUGCGUCUUUGGAACGCUCAUGACGAGACCUCAGGUCAGGCGGGGCUACCCGCUGAGUUUAAGCAUAUCAAUAAGCGGAGGA
rnacentral:misc_RNA from 1 species